rfam:Vitis vinifera, whole genome shotgun sequence of line PN40024, unoriented chromosome 11, chr11
AGGGAUCUCAAAUGAUGAACAGAAGCAUAGUUCAAAUGAUAAUCUUUGUGAUUAGAAAUUGAAUGUCUUUCGCUCCUAUCUGAUGAUCCUC